rnacentral:rRNA from 1 species
UACGAAGGGGGCUAGCGUUGCUCGGAAUCACUGGGCGUAAAGCGCACGUAGGCGGCUUCUUAAGUCAGGGGUGAAAUCCUGGAGCUCAACUCCAGAACUGCCUUUGAUACUGAGGAGCUUGAGUCCGGGAGAGGUGAGUGGAACUGCGAGUGUAGAGGUGAAAUUCGUAGAUAUUCGCAAGAACACCAGUGGCGAAGGCGGCUCACUGGACUGGUAUUGACGCUGAGGUGCGAAAGCGUGGGGAGCAAACAGG